AGUUUGAUCAUGGCUCAGAUUGAACGCUGGCGGCAGGCCUAACACAUGCAAGUCGAACGGUAACAGGAAACAGCUUGCUGUUUCGCUGACGAGUGGCGGACGGGUGAGUAAUGUCUGGGAAACUGCCUAAUGGAGGGGGAUAACUACUGGAAACGGUAGCUAAUACCGCAUAACGUCGCAAGACCAAAGAGGGGGACCCUCGGGCCUCUUGCCAUCGGAUGUGCCCAGAUGGGAUUAGCUUGUUGGUGGGGUAACGGCUCACCAAGGCGACGAUCCCUAGCUGGUCUGAGAGGAUGACCAGCCACACUGGAACUGAGACACGGUCCAGACUCCUACGGGAGGCAGCAGUGGGGAAUAUUGCACAAUGGGCGCAAGCCUGAUGCAGCCAUGCCGCGUGUAUGAAGAAGGCCUUCGGGUUGUAAAGUACUUUCAGCGGGGAGGAAGGGAGUAAAGUUAAUACCUUUGCUCAUUGACGUUACCCGCAGAAGAAGCACCGGCUAACUCCGUG
rnacentral:rRNA from 1 species